rnacentral:rRNA from 1 species
AACGCGAAGAACCUUACCAGGCCUUGACAUCCCGUGACCGGCACAGAGAUGUGUUUUUCCCUUGGGGGACGCGGAGACAGGUGCUGCAUGGCUGUCGUCAGCUCGUGUCGUGAGAUGUUGGGUUAAGUCCCGCAACGAGCGCAACCCUCCCUUUUAGUUGCCAUCAUUCAGUUGGGCACUCAAGGGGGACUGCCGGGAACAAGCGGGAGGAAGGUGGGGAGGACGUAAAGUCCUCAUGCCCUUUACGGCGGGGGUUACACACUUGCUACAAUGGGGGUGACACAGAGGACAGAAACCUGGCGACAGGUAGCCAAUCUCCAAAAACCCUCUCAGUUCGGAUUGCAGUCUGCAACUCGAGUCCAUGAAGUGGGAAUCGCUAGUAAUCGCAGAACAACAAGCUGCGGUGAAUAAAUUUCCCGGGUCUUGUACACACCG